ACCGGUGCCAGCCGCCGCGGUAAUACCGGCAGCUCGAGUGGUAGCUGUUUUUAUUGGGCCUAAAGCGUUCGUAGCCGGUUUGAUAAGUCUUUGGUGAAAGCUUGUAGCUUAACUAUAAGAAUUGCUGGAGAUACUAUCAGACUUGAAGUCGGGAGAGGUUAGAGGUACUACCGGGGUAGGGGUGAAAUCCUAUAAUCCUGGGAGGACCACCUGUGGCGAAGGCGUCUAACUAGAACGAUCUUGACGGUGAGUAACGAAAGCCAGGGGCGCGAACCGGAUUAGAUACCCGGGUAGUCCUGGCCGUAAACGAUGUGGACUUGGUGUUGGAAUGGCUUUGAGUUGUUCCAGUGCCGAAGGGAAGCUG
rnacentral:rRNA from 1 species